rnacentral:rRNA from 1 species
AUACGGAGGAUCCGAGCGUUAUCCGGAUUUAUUGGGUUUAAAGGGUGCGCAGGCGGCCAUUUAAGUCAGCGGUUAAAUCGUGGGGCUCAACCCCAUUCUGCCGUUGAUACUGGGUGGCUUGAUUGCGGGCGAGGUUGGCGGAAUUCGUUGUGGAGCGGUGAAAUGCAUAGAUAUGACGAAGAACACCGAUUGCGUAGGCAGCUGACCAGAUCGCAAAUGACGCUCAUGCACGAAAGUGCGGGGAUCGAACAGGAUUAGAUACCCUGGUAGUCCGCACAGUAAACGAUGAAUACUUGUUUUCGGCGAUAUAAUGUCGGAGGCAAAGCGAAAGCGAUAAGUAUUCCACCUGGGGAGUACGCCGGCAACGGUGAAACUCAAAUGAAUUGACGGGG